UGACCUCAGAUCAGACAUGGCGACCCACCGAAUUUAAGCAUAUUACUAAGUGGAGGAAACGAAACUAACCAGGAUUCCCUCAGUAACGAUGAGUGAAAAGCCCAGCGCCAAAUCCCAGCUUGGGCAAUGGGCGCAGGGAAAUUUGGCAUACGGAAGUCCGUCUUCCUGGGGACACCUAGGGGUCCCAAGUCCUUGUGAUCGAGGCUUAGUCCAUGGACGGUGUGAGGCCGGUGGCAGCCCCAGCAUGUCGGGAUCAGGUCUUCCCAGAGUCAGGUUAUUUGUGAAUGCAGCCCAAAGUGGGUGGUAAAUUCCAUCUAAGGCUAAAUACUGGCACGAGACCAAUAGCGGACAAGUACCAUAAGGGAAAGUUAAAAAGAACUUUGAAGAGAGAGUUCAAGAGGGCGUGAAACUGUUCAGAGGUAAACGGGUGGGGUCCGCACGGUCCACCCGGGGGAUUCAACCUGGUGGCAAUGCCAGCUGCCCGGGUGAGCUGGAUCCCCCUCCCCCUCCGGGGGGUGGGGACCAUGCCCGGGCACACUGGCUACCAUCGGGUGCACUUCCUCCAAGGCAGUGCACCGUGACCAGCUCCAGUUUGGCCAGGAAGGCCAUGCAGAAGGUGGCUCCCCUCCCCGGAGGGAAGUGUUGCAGCCAGCGGCAUCAGCCCUCGCCGUGCCUUGAAGUCGUGGGAGAUAACCGCUGCUGCACCCUCCCUGUCCUUGUGGCAGGGGGCCCCCUGCUCCUGGCGGGACUGUCAACUGGGCCAGACUGCCCUCAGUGCGGCCUGACCAUGUCCCACUGCUGGGCCGGUGGGCUCCGUGGUGACAUCGGUGACCCACCCGUCCUGUCUUGAAACAUAGACCAAGGAGUCUAACAGGUGCACGAGUCUGAGGGUGGAAAGGAGACCCCACGGCACAAUGAAAGUGAGGGCCGGUGCACGCUGGCUGAGGUGGUAUCCCCCCAGUCCAUGCAGGAGGCACAACGAUGGCCUGUCACACCCAUUGCGUCGGGGAGGUGGAGCGUGAGCGUACCUGAUGGGACCCAAAAGAUGGUGAAAUAUGCCUGGGCAGGGCGAAGCCAGAAGAAACUCUGGUGGAGGUCCGUAGCAAUCCUGAUGUGCAAAUCGGUCAUCCAACCUGGGUAUAGGGGCGAAAGACUAAUCAAACCAUCUAGUAGCUGGUUCCCUUCGAAGUUUCCCUCAGGAUAGCUGGCGCUCGGCGGAUGCAGUUUUAUCUGGUAAAGCAAAUGAUUAGAGGUCUUGGGGCUGAAACGAUCUCAACCUAUUCUCAAACUUUAAAUGGGUAAGAAGCCCAACUCACUGGCUUGGGGACGGUCGAGGAAUGCAAGCACCCAGUGGGUCACUUUUGGUAAGCAGAACUGGCACUGUGGGAUGAACCAAACGCAGAGUUAAGGCGCCCGAUGCCGAUGCCCAUUAGACCCCAGAAAAUGUGUUGGUUGAUAUAGACUGCAGGAAGGUGGCCAUGGAAGUUGUAAUCCACUAAGGAGUGUGUAACAACUCACCUGCCGAAUCAACUAGCCCUAAAAAUGGAUGGCGCUGGAGCAUCGAGCCCAUACUCGGCCGUCGCCAUCGCUGGGAGACAAAGGGGGCUACACCAUGACAAGUAGGAGGGCCACCGUGGUGGCACUGAAGCCCAGGGUGAAGGCCUGGGUGGAGCCGCCGUGGGUGCAGAUCUUAGUGGUAGUAGCAAAUUUUCAAAAGAGAACUUUGAUGGCUGAAGUGGAGAAGGGUUCCAUGUGAACAGCAGUUGAACAUGGGUCAGUCGGUCCUGAGAGAUAGGUGAGCAGCGUUCUGAAGGGAUGGGCGAUGGCCUCCGUCACCCUCAGCCAAUCGAAAGGGAGUUGGGUUCAGAUCCCCGAAUCUGGAGCGGCAGAGAUGGGCAUCUCGUGCCGUCCAAUGUGAUGAUGCAAAUGGGGGCCCCAGGGAGAGUUCUCUUUUCUUUUUAAAGGACAGGGCACCCUGGAAUGGGUUUGCCCCAAGUGGGGGGACUGCACCCUGGAAAGCAUCAAGGUUCCGGCGGCGUCAGGUGAGCUCUCGCUGGCCCUUGAAAAUCCAGGGGGGAGAGGGUGUAAGUCUUGCGCUGGGCCAUACCCAUAUCCACAGCAGGUCUCCAAGGUGAACAGCCUCUUGCAUGUUAGAACAAUGUAGGUAAGGGAAGUCGGCAAGCCAUAUCCGUAACUUUGGGAUAAGGAUUGGCUCUAAGGGCUGGGUCGGUUGGGCUCAGGCGUGAAGUGGGGCUGGGCACACGCAGCAGCUGGAUGAGGUGUCGCCAGCCCUCACCAUGCUCCCCCCUCCCCAGGGGGCUGGCGGGUAUGGCGGCAGCAACUCUGGACGUGCACCGGGCCCUUCCUGUGGAUCGCCCUGGCUGUGGCGGGCACCGGUCCCGAGUGGCAUCCCGCAUCCUCCGGCAACUAGCAGCUGACUUAGAACUGGUGUGGACUGGGGGAAUCCGACUGUUUAAUUAAAACAAAGCAUUGUGAAGGC